GGCACCGCAGCCCCCGAGUUAUCCCCGCGCCCGCCUACCUCCUCUGCAAACCUCUUCCGGGCUGGAGGCGGGCGUACCGGGAAACAUCGAAGCUGAAGAAGAGCAGCAGUUUCAGGAAGCGCUCCCAGUGAAGAUAGAAGUUACACAUUGAAGGCCUGGUUUCCUCAGUGGGAAGAAUUUGUUAUGUCUGAUACCGAAGAAGGAAGCUUCAGCUACUCAGAGAUGAACAAGAGGUACACUAAGAGCAUCAACCUUUGCUCUGAAGAUUGAGUACACUCCUGGAUGACUUCAGGGACAGACCAGAAGAAACAUUUUAAGUUAAGCAAAGGCAGAAGUGUUUUAUUUGUUAUCUUCUAAAAAUUGACUUAGCUUUUGAAAUAGACAGGAUGGUUACAGAUGAGAAACUCUGAACUGAAACCACUUUUUAAACUAAUGAAGCAGUUAAUAAGCACUGUCAUUUGCAUGAAGGAGAACAAUUUGAAAAAUGGUAGUGUUCAGUAUAGCAUGGAGUAAAAAAUAUGUCUGUUUUUGUGUCACAAGGAGCCAAAGAAAAUACUUUCCUGAGCAAAUAGUCUGGAGAGCUGAUACUUAGAAACACACAAAAGAGAAAACUUUUUAGUUUUGUGUCUUUGAGUUGGUAAAGCUGAGGGAUGCAAUAGCCCAAAAUGCCCAGCCUAUGGUUUCAGUUUUGUAUGGCAUGAUAACAUACAGAAUGUUCUUGUUGUUCCUUGAAUGAUGCAGAAUUCUAAACUGGGUAACAAAACCAUAGGAAGCAAUUAAUCCCUUUUACCUGGAAGGAGGUGUUUCUUUCUUUUAUUUUUGCUGGUUUUGGAAUUCAAAAAAUCCAGGGUUUUCUUGAGCCUUAGAAAAGAGCUCAGUUAUUGCAAUUGGAAAGAGCUGCUUCUCUUCAGAGAAGAGAGACUUCUUCCUAAGUACCAGGAACUAUGGAAAACAAUCUGGAAACUUUGUUUGCCUACUGGAUCUCUACAUGUUAAUGAUGGGGUGGAUGGCAAUUCCUUUUUAGCAGCUAUUUUAAAGCUUUCUUCAGUCAUAAUUUCUUGUAUAGAUUAGAAAUUUUCUCAUAGGCUCUCUGUAGCCUCUGCUCAAAGCAUUUAAUGCCAAGUGGUGGUGGCCCCAGACACAGUUAAUGUUCUGCAGGGUGGAUGAGGGUUAUGUUCUUAGGACUGGCUAAUUAGUUAGGCUCUAGGAAAUUAAAUACCACUAUCCUCACCAUAGCUGUGGGCAGAGGCCAUCACUGUCAUGCAAGGUAUGGAGAGGAUGUGACUGAAGGAGACAUCCAGUGGGGUUUUCUGUGACAAUAAAGUUACACUUUUUGAUGUUGUGAACUCUGUGCUGUACUGACCUUCCUACAAGGCAUACCUGACUACAGGGGUUUUUCUUUCAUUAUUUUCUCUUCCUUUAUAUCCAGCUAUGAAAAGUUAAGCAUGGCUGUGCUCUUGAGAUUUUUUAAAAAGGUGUUUGUGCAACUCUGCCAGUUCCAGAAGGGCUUUGAAUUCAGUAACACUUUUAUCAUGAAAAGGAACUCUAUUUUAAAUGGGUUGUAUUGCAGGGCCUUCCCUUCAGUGCAGGCAUUCUGUGGCUGCCAACUGCAAAUCUGCAUGAAGUGUGAAUCAAGUUUCCAGACCAAAACCCUCAAAAUGUGAUUGGCUUAAGUGCAUGAGACUUUUUCUUCCCCAACUGUAACAAAUUAUAGGUGCUUUGUUUCUUCACAUUUUCACAUUCAAGCCUGCUUCACAAAACUCAUGGAAACCACAAAAGAGACAUUUACUCUUAUUAUUCCAUGUGGUGCAUGGGGUUUACUUGUGAUUUCUUGGUUCUUGUAGCUGAGCCAUAAAAAAACAACCUCCAUUGUGGUGAAGUAGAAGCAUGUUAGGCACUCCUCCUCACUUCUGGUUUUCUUAAGGAUCUGCCUUCAUGGAAAAUGUGCUACAUAGCCCUGUCCUGCUAGGUAUCAAAAGAGGUUGGAAGUUGUUCCAACCUACAUGCUCUGAUGUACACUAAAGGCACAACAAGUUCCUUUUGCUGCCUAGCAGGCAACAGGGAGCUGAGAAGGAAAAAGGUCAGCACAGGGAAAAGUGCACCAAGGAGAAGUGUUCCAAGUGGCCAUGGAGAACAUAACUGCUGAGCCAGUGUGAGGUGCUGCUUUUAGCAUUGGCUUUCUCAAGACUUUGUGCUGUCUGGCUGUCCUGGUCUCUCUCAUGUGCUCCUCAUUGCCCAGUUUUACUCACAAGACCAUGAAGAGGCCAAGUGAGAUUCAAAGGAUGUUUGUGAGGUUGAGCAUGAGCUGAAUUCCUUGCAGCCACUGGCUACAAUUCAUCCUGUGACAUUUCUCUGUGCCUAAAUGCCUUUCAUCCAGCAUGAGACUGUAUUCUCCAACAAAAUAAAUGUUGCAUGAAAACUAAUAAGACAUGGUGAAAGAGAAUUUUUCUGUUUAAAAGUAUACUUACAAAUAACUGUUAUUGUUUCUAUUUCUUUUAACCAGUGCGAAUAAUACCUCCUGAAAUACUUUUCAUGCUGCUGAGGAAAUACAUGGAUGUUUUUUAUGGCUUUUAUCAAUCUGCCUCAUUAAUUUCUUAGUGUAAGGCCUUUCCAGAGGGCUGGCAAAAGCCUUUCUUUUACAACAAACAGUUUGAUUUAGGAGUGCUGCUCCCCACUAUUACUACAUUGGUGGAGAAAUUAUAGUUUAUGAACUAAUCUAUGGCAUCCUCCCAAACCAUAGAUUUUGAAAAUGGAAAAUUCAGUUUAAUGCUCUAAUGAACCAUGGUCUGAUAGGUACUGUGCCAAUUAGUCUAGAAGGUAGAUGUGUGUGAAAUUUGAUAUUUUCAGCAACAUUUAGUACUUCAUUUUAAAGUAAAUGUAAGUGCCUGGGUAAAUGAAAGUGUUGCAAUUUUUUGUUAUAAAAUAAA